GAAAUGCGAUAAGUAAUGUGAAUUGCAGAAUUCAGUGAAUCAUCGAAUCUUUGAACGCACAUUGCGCCCCCUGGUAUUCCGGGGGGCAUGCCUGUUCGAGCGUCAUUUCACCACUCAAGCCUCGCUUGGUAUUGGGCAACGCGGUCCGCCGCGUGCCUCAAAUCGACCGGCUGGGUCUUCUGUCCCCUAAGCGUUGUGGAAACUAUUCGCUAAAGGGUGUUCGGGAGGCUACGCCGUAAAACAACCCCAUUUCCAAGGUUGACCUCGGAUCAGGUAGGGAUACCCGCUGAACUUAAGC
rnacentral:misc_RNA from 1 species